GUUCAUUAUGGUAGUUUUUUUAAUUAGGAAUUUUAUUUGACAAGGAUUUGAGGUUGAUAUUGUCUGUUUUGUAUUAAAAUUAGAAAGUCACCCCAUAGAAUUAGCCUAAGGUUAGGCUGUAGUCAUUCUGUGCAACAGCGCCCCCUCCCCUCCUCCCCCCUCCUCCUUUUUCUCUUUCAGUCUUGUUCCCACCCUCCUUUUUCUCCCUGAAAUGCACGCUGUAAUACCCAGUCACUCUCGCAGACACAGAGGGAGAGAGAGAUAGGAACAGAACACCGGACUUGCCGACUGGAGAAGGAUUUUUUUUUCUUUUCUUAAAUGAAAAGGAGCUUGAAAAGAGACAUUAUCUCUUGCUUUCCAUUUUGUCUGGCCGCAUCCUCCCCUCCUCUGUUCCCCUGUUAGUCUGACCGGCGUAGACGUACAGAGAGGACUGCGGCAGCCUCCGCCACCACAGUCAACUGGAGUCUUACCUGCGAGGGGGUGAGAACCACAGAGAGGAUGACACCAUCAUCCUCCUCCACGGCAUCAGGCGACGGCACAAACACGGGCUCUGACGGGAAGAAACCCUUCUGGUACCAGACCUGAGGUGACACACAAGGACAAGAAUAUCAUGUUCAGUGAGGCUUAGUGCUUCAGGGUUUCAUUAGAUUAUUGCAUUUAUUACCUCUUCUGAGAAGGACACAGUGUUGGUGUACAGUGUUCUUUAUAUUUUGCAUCGUAUAGAAGGAAUAAUCUUUUUUUUUUACUUGGUUUGGUAUUAAGCUUAGUAUCUUUCUUGCUGAGAGUAAGAGUAUAACGUGCUAUGUAGUAAGCUUAAGAGGUGCUGCUGGGUGGAUUUUGUUACCCUCCAGUCUCAGUGCUAAGCUAAAUUUAACCACUGUGGCUCUGGCCUUCUAUACAGGACACCACUAUCUGACAGUGGUAUGCAUCUCCUUGUCUAAAACUCAGCACUUAAAAAGCAGAUUUCCCAAAAUGUUGAACAAUUCCUUUAAUGUUUGUAUGUUACCAUUACUGUACACUGACUAGAUGUGGUGAUCCAUGUGAUACAUACAUUGUGCAAGAUAGAACAAUAAGAACAAGAAGGAAUAAGGGGAUGGCAAUGAAUUCUGCCAAAAAUGUGUUUUUGGCUAAUUUUAUACCUCACUGAAUCAACAGCGGUAGCAGCUGUUCAUACUGACAUCUGCAGUGUCACAAACAGAUGUGCUGAAUUCUACAUCCGUUCCUUAAUGAGUAAAAUAUUAUUGUGUGAUUGAUCGCAGUUUUAGCAUAAAAUUUCUAACUUACGAUAUAGCAUUGUGCCAGAUGUUCUUCUACACAAACUAAGUUCUAUUUAGUGACAAAUAAACACACACCCACACACAUACCUUGAGCGUCUUGUCCUUCAGGUCCAUCUUGAGCAGAGAAUCUCCCACCAGGUGUCUGAAGCCACAGCCAUAAAAAUAACGGUACGGUCGCGCAUUACAUCUGCCGUAGUUGAUCUGAGGGAACUCCAGGCCACCGUACUCAUGGAGGUCAUCUCCAUGGAGAUCCUCGUGUUGGCAGAACAGCUGUUGACAAAGAGAGGAUCAAAUGUCUGUUGUCAAUGAGAGACAAAAGAGUUUUUUUUACUGUGGCCAUGCAGUCAAGUCUCUCACGAUUUCAUUGGGCAUUAGCUUUGAGAUGCUCAUGUGAAUGGGGAGGAGUUUGUGUUUUUUGACUUUAAUGUUAUAACUUAAUAGUUUCUAUGAUGGGCUGGAUGUUGUAAUCUGAAAAUCUGAAACCUGAUGACCUGAAAUUCAUCAACUGAAUUGGUUCUAAAACAUCAGAAAAGAUGGUUAAAAAUUUGGGGAGGUAAAAAUGACUGAAGUUGUACCUCUGGGACUGUAUUCUAAAUGACUGUGAAACAUUUUUGGGUCAUAGUAGUGAUAGUAUUAUUAAAGAAUAUGAGGAAAUGAACUGUUGUAAUUGUGUAUAUAUAUAUAUAUAUAUAUAUAUUGAAUUCUAUAACUAUUAAAAUAAAUGCCCCAAAUCUCACACUUUAAUUAUUAUAUUUUAUUUAUAUUUAACAAUUCCAUUACUGUUACAUGUUGAGGAGGUUUUUUUGUGGUAUGUAAUCAGGUGUGUUUUUCACAUUCUACGACAAAUUUCAGUGUCUGGACCGAUUCAGUUCUAGUGGUGGAAAGUAAGUGAUUAGAUUUACUCCCCAGAGCAAAAUACAUCACCUUUUCCUUUUGCCAGCUCACCUUAUCUUUGCUGAUUUUGACACACGUUGCCUUACUGGAGGGACGGGUGUUCAGGUUCUGGCCUGUUGGGGUUUCACUGGUCACAUCAAGGGGCAGAACGAAGCGCCGAGGGAAAGCCCUGCACAUGGUGUUGUACACCUGGAAUAGACGCAACAGAGGAGCAAUCCAAGAACAACACAGGAUUACUGAGGCCUUUCAAAAUGGAUGAAAGUAUUUCACCUUUAACAGAAAUCUUGUCUCCUCACCCAUCAUCUCAAAGCGAGACAGGAAGCGCUGGAAGAAGUUUUUACAGGGGUCUGGCAUGGCAAGGGUUCCAAACUCUGACAUCACGAUGCGAUCCCGUUCGCUGUUCUUCUUGUAGGCGUCGCUCUCCAGGAAACGACUCAUCGUGUUGAGACAUCUCUGAACUCACUGUGAGUUUCCAAACUCAAACUUCCCUGGGCCGUUACGGAGGAGGUUGCCAUUGAUCCAGAAGGGAAUGUUGCCUUGAACCUCAGUGGACAUUGGCUCAGGAGUCUCCUCUACAGA